UCGUCAGCUCGUGUUGUGAAAUGUUGGGUUAAGUCCCGCAACGAGCGCAACCCUUAUCCUUUGUUGCCAGCGGUCCGGCCGGGAACUCAAAGGAGACUGCCAGUGAUAAACUGGAGGAAGGUGGGGAUGACGUCAAGUCAUCAUGGCCCUUACGACCAGGGCUACACACGUGCUACAAUGGCGCAUACAAAGAGAAGCGACCUCGCGAGAGCAAGCGGACCUCAUAAAGUGCGUCGUAGUCCGGAUUGGAGUCUGCAACUCGACUCCAUGAAGUCGGAAUCGCUAGUAAUCGUGGAUCAGAAUGCCACGGUGAAUACGUUCCCGGGCCUUGUACACACCGCCCGUCACACCAUGGGAGUGGGUUGCAAAAGAAGUAGGUAGCUUAACCUCCGGGAGGGCGCUUACCACUUUGUGAUUCGUGACUGGGGUGAAGUCGUAACAAGGUAACCGUAGGGGAACCUGCGGUUGGAUCACCUC
rnacentral:rRNA from 1 species